rnacentral:rRNA from 1 species
GAUGAACGCUGGCGGCGUGCCUAAUACAUGCAAGUCGAGCGAACAGACGAGGAGCUUGCUCCUCUGACGUUAGCGGCGGACGGGUGAGUAACACGUGGAUAACCUACCUAUAAGACUGGGAUAACUUCGGGAAACCGGAGCUAAUACCGGAUAAUAUAUUGAACCGCAUGGUUCAAUAGUGAAAGACGGUUUUGCUGUCACUUAUAGAUGGAUCCGCGCCGCAUUAGCUAGUUGGUAAGGUAACGGCUUACCAAGGCAACGAUGCGUAGCCGACCUGAGAGGGUGAUCGGCCACACUGGAACUGAGACGCGGUCCAGACUCCUACGGGAGGCAGCAGUAGGGAAUCUUCCGCAAUGGGCGAAAGCCUGACGGAGCAACGCCGCGUGAGUGGUGAAGGUCUUCGGAUCGUAAAACUCUGUUAUUAGGGAAGAACAAAUGUGUAAGUAACUAUGCACGUCUUGACGGUACCUAAUCAGAAAGCCACGGCUAACUACGUG